CCUACGGGUGGCAGCAGUGAGGAAUAUUGGUCAAUGGACGAGAGUCUGAACCAGCCAAGUAGCGUGAAGGAUGACUGCCCUAUGGGUUGUAAACUUCUUUUAUAUGGGAAUAAAAUGUUCCACGUGUGGGAUUUUGUAUGUACCAUAUGAAUAAGGAUCGGCUAACUCCGUGCCAGCAGCCGCGGUAAUACGGAGGAUCCGAGCGUUAUCCGGAUUUAUUGGGUUUAAAGGGAGCGUAGGUGGAUUGUUAAGUCAGUUGUGAAAGUUUGCGGCUCAACCGUAAAAUUGCAGUUGAAACUGGCAGUCUUGAGUACAGUAGAGGUGGGCGGAAUUCGUGGUGUAGCGGUGAAAUGCUUAGAUAUCACGAAGAACUCCGAUUGCGAAGGCAGUUCACUGGACUGCAACUGACACUGAGGUUCGAAAGUGUGGGUAUCAAACAGGAUUAGAUACCCGUGUAGUC
rnacentral:rRNA from 1 species